UACGGAAGGUCCGGGCGUUAUCCGGAUUUAUUGGGUUUAAAGGGAGCGUAGGCCGGAGAUUAAGCGUGUUGUGAAAUGUAGACGCUCAACGUCUGCACUGCAGCGCGAACUGGUCUCCUUGAGUACGCACAAAGUGGGCGGAAUUCGUGGUGUAGCGGUGAAAUGCUUAGAUAUCACGAAGAACUCCGAUUGCGAAGGCAGCUCACUGGAGCGCAACUGACGCUGAAGCUCGAAAGUGCGGGUAUCGAACAGG
rnacentral:rRNA from 1 species